rnacentral:rRNA from 1 species
UACGUAGGGUGCAAGCGUUAAUCGGAAUUACUGGGCGUAAAGCGUGCGCAGGCGGUGAUGUAAGACAGGUGUGAAAUCCCCGGGCUCAACCUGGGAAUUGCAUCUGUGACUGCAUCGCUAGAGUACGGUAGAGGGGGAUGGAAUUCCGCGUGUAGCAGUGAAAUGCGUAGAUAUGCGGAGGAACACCGAUGGCGAAGGCAAUCCCCUGGACCUGUACUGACGCUCAUGCACGAAAGCGUGGGGAGCAAACAGG